AAAUGCUGAAUAAAGAGAGGAAGACAAUUAAUUCUAUUCUCUCUCUCUCUCUCUCUCUUUUUUUUUUUUUUUUUGCGAGAGACGGAAUUCAACCACGUGCCUUCUGGGAAGCCAUAUUAGAUUAAUUAAGUUGAGAAGAUCGGAACAUUUCCCAAGGUUACAUGCAGAAGUCCACACAACUUGAACUCGCCUCUUGAGUCUGGGUCACCUUGAUGAGUGCCAAGAUCAUGAAGCCAGACCGUGCUGAGCUGGGGGGUGAAGAACGGUUCCCACAACAACGACAAUGACAACCAUCAUCACCACCACAAAACCCAACAAGGUAGAUGGUACUUUUAACUGGAGCUGACUGAAAAAUCUCCGAAUUCGAAUGCAAAGUGUGAAAAGGCAAGACGACCAGUAACGUUAUCUUUGGAAAAGCAGGGGGUAAGAAAGCUUUUAACAUAGUUGGAGAGCUCCCAACUAGAUAAAACAGCAGGUUAUGCCAUAUUAAGAUGUGCUUGGCACCCAGGGAGAAGGGAAAGUCAAUGGUUACAUCUCUAACGGACGAAAUGGUAUCCACGGCAGGAGAUUAAAAAAACAACCCAACCGCUCGGUCCGUUAAUCCAAAGUUGGGAAGACUGAAUCCAAGAGAGCUGAGAGCACAAUCACAAAUCACUUUCAAGAGCCAGAUGUGUUGUUUUCCUCAAAUGGGUUUCAUUAGAAAUGAAGUCACACACACACACACACACACACACACACACACACGUGCGCACACACACUUAAGAGGAAGCAAGAUUGAUCUGGGUAAAUAAAAAAGAUGAGUGAGAACCUUGGUUUUACCCCAGAAAUAGAGACAGUAUGGCAGGAGACCGAGUGGUGUGUUGGGAAUCUUUUUUACAGAGGUAAUCCGCACCCUUUGUGUGAAAGGAAGGAAAAGGUUGCCAGCCAGGCUUCUGUUUAGCUGGAGGGUUCUCUGCCCAACAUACCCAGAUGCAUGGUGAGGCGCACCCAAAAUGAAUGAAUACAUUUCAAGGUAGGCAGGGCAAACAGGAAGGCUCAUUUGUGGUAUAAGAAACAGACUAAAUAUAGGAUAAAUACUAAGGCUAAGAUCAUGAUGGUGGGUUAGGCUUAGAGGAAGGUGUCAAAUACAUGGGUAAUACUUUGGAAGCAUCAGCAGACUCCCAGGCAAGGCGUCGAGAGAGAGAGAGACAGACAGACAGACAGACAGAUGGAAGUCUGAUUACCAUGUCUGGAAGACUAUUUCUUGGUGGGGUGGGGCUGACAGCCUCUGACGCGCUGGAAGGACCAAGGAGAGGACUGGGGUCUGAAGAAGGCCUUUUACCACCCAGGGGGAAUUUCUCCUGCUUAUGGAAGAGGAAUAUUGCAAUCAGGGCACAAUCCAUGUCUCACCUGGACCGAAGCAACAGCCUCCUCGCUGGGCUUCCCGCCUUCACUCUUUUCCGCUAACAUUUAUCCCCCCAGCCAGCCUUCUCGCACCAAGAUACAAGGUGAUCAUAGCUCUCUCCUGUUUCCAAGCCCUUGAGGACUCUCAGCCUGGGCUUCCGAUGUCCUGAAUUUCCCUCAACCUGUCUUUUUGACCCUGUGCCACUAUUUUCUGGUCAUUUGGGUCUACUCACAGACACACCUCACUUUCCUUCCUCCACGGCCUCUGCCCUUGCUGUGGGCACAGAACAACUUGGAGAAAACAUGUCAAAAUGAUACCUAUACACUGAGUUUCACUUAUAAAGGUCUACCCCCAUAAAGGACUUGUGUAAAUCAGCGAAGGUUCUCGGGAAGUAAAUUAAAAACCUAAAGCUACUAGCCCUUACAUUAAAGAGAUAUUAUACUGAAAACGCAAGAGAUAUGAAGAGCCUUUGUACAGACACCAGCCUAGACUUACUCACUGAAAAAGGCAGCUGUUAUGCACCUUGAAUAACAGUGAUGGGAACUGCUGUAGUCUUAGCUACGCUUAAAAAAGUGCAUUUCACUCCUCCGACCCCAUAAUGAAAAUGUGAAGGGUCUGCAUUUCAGGUCUCUUGCAAAAACACGGAAGCGUUUUUUCCUAUUGUUCAUCACAAAAAUAACAAGGAUGUACAUUUUCUCACUUAGUUUUUCCUUGUAUUAGUGCCAGUUGCUCAGGAGGAAAAGCAAAAAAGCUACCAUUGUUUCCUUGUGACAGAGGCUGUGUUCAGGUGCCCUGUUAUUUUAUCGGCAAUGUAGAGUCACCUCUGUGUUCUGGCGUGCUGCUUUGGCGUCCCAGCAAAAUGAUAACAUGAAGGAGACCCACUCUUUAAUCUUCUCCCUGUUGAUAGGAAUAAACUUUUCAGUUGGCGUGUGGCAACAAUAGCACCUGUGCUCCUUUGGAACCAGAAAAAGAUUCUUUUAUUAAGGUUGGAACAGGCAGUGGGAGCAGGUACCAGGGAAAUAAAGAUUUUUCCCGAAGUAGCUUCAAUGACCCACUGGCUCUUCACCACCUCCACACUUGCACACUAGAAUUAAUCUUCCUGCCGCCUCUGCGAGGAAAGCUCAGAGAAAUGGGAAGAACAGUCGAAAAUAACAGUAGUGAUCAUAGGGUUGGGACCUUUUGGCUUUGACACUGAUUUCUUUUGUGUUCAUAAGCGAGCCCCUUAACCCGUCAGCACCAUUUUUUUGUAUAGCUACCCAGGUGUGCCUCCCUUUGGGGGAUGCGUGUGUUUAUGAAGCCUGUGUUUGAAUGAAUUUAUAUAAAUCACAACUUUUCUAUUGGCUUUCAUGACAAUGUGAAAAAGAAGGCUGUUCGCCUUGGGCUUAAUCUGCAGCAGAUCAAGGCCCUUCAUACUUCGGCGUGAGCGUUCUGUGCCUCCUCUGCCCAGCUUCCUCCCCUGGCCUUGGCCUCUCUGUCAAGCAGACAAUCAUCUACAAAGGAUCCGUUAGGCACCUUUGCUUGCACCGGGAGCCCCCCUUAAAAACCGAAGACUUCUUCAGGGAUGAACAUGGCCCCUCCCUAACAUAGGUAGCUUGUACAGAUGUUUGUGUAUUGGGUUCUCUUAUGUGAAAAGCAACUGGGGUGAUGGGGAUGGGGGUGUGGGUUGACUGGCGUCCCCUCAAAAUUCAUCUGUUGAAGUGUCAAUCCCCAGUACCUCAGAAUGUGACCUUAUCUGGAAAUUGGGUUGGGUUAUUGUAGAUGUCAUUGGUGAAGAUGAGGUUAUACUGGCCUCCUAAUUCAUUAUGACAAGCGUCCUUAUAAAAAGUUCGGAUGCAGAGACACGCUCACAGGGAGAAUGCUGUGUGAACGUUGUAGUUCUGCUGACGCAAGCCAAGGAAAUACCAGAAGCCAGGAGAAAGGCCUAGAACAGACCUUCCCUAGAGCCUUCAGAAGGAACGUGGCCCUGUGACACCCUGAUGUCAGAUGACUGGCCUCCAGAACGCUUCUUUUCAGCAACCAAUAUUGUAAGCAUGAAGGCUUUGGUUCUUUCAGUCAAUGAUUUAAAUUUCAAUUUGCAUGCCCUGUGUUAGUAUUCGUUGUUAUACACGUUUUCCGGACUGGACGCGCACCGGUCAAUUUCA